rnacentral:rRNA from 1 species
UAGGGAAUCUUCGGCAAUGGACGAAAGUCUGACCGAGCAACGCCGCGUGAGUGAAGAAGGUUUUCUGAUCGUAAAACUCUGUUGUUAGAGAAGAACAAGGAUGAGAGUAGAAUGUUCAUCCCUUGACGGUAUCUAACCAGAAAGCCACGGCUAACUACGUGCCAGCAGCCGCGGUAAUACGUAGGUGGCAAGCGUUGUCCGGAUUUAUUGGGCGUAAAGCGAGCGCAGGCGGUUUCUUAAGUCUGAUGUGAAAGCCCCCGGCUCAACCGGGGAGGGUCAUUGGAAACUGGAAAACUUGAGUGAAGAAGAGGAGAGUAGAAUUCCAUGUGUAGCGGUGAAAUGCGUAGAUAUAUGGAGGAACACCAGUGGCGAAGGCGGCUCUCUGGUCUGUAACUGACGCUGAGGCUCGAAAGCGUGGGGAGCAAACAGG